CUUUGAUGGCUUUCAGCUUCUAUUUUUUGAAAAGUAGCGCGCUCAGACCAGCUCGCUCACUCUUUUCCUCUUCCAUUUUUUAGGGCAAUUGUUUUGUUUGAUAGACGAAGCUUAGGGUCUCUUUGGGUUUGCAACCCUUACCCUCCUGGAAAAAAUCAUAGUUGUGCUAGACUGCGACACUUCAGACCAGGUACUAUUAGAGCCGCUAAUGGACGACGAGCUAUUUUCCGCUAUCCGGAGCUCAAGCAUUUGAGCCGCUAAAUGGACGAGACUCCUGAGGUAAAGGAUGCAGAGAAUGAGGAGAGAACACUCGUAUGGAGCAGGGAGUAGGUAGUGUACUACUUCCUGGUAUGGAGCACUGAGAAGCGCAUUAGGCGAUUUGAUCGCAGGACAAGAGAGGAGCUGAUGGACGAUCUCUCCAGUGUCCCUCUUGGUUCGGAGCAGCGCCGAGUGCUGACGUUGGGACUUGGAUCUCACUCAGCUCUGCUCUCCGAGCAUGCUGCUUCCAACACGACUUCCCGAAAGAAAAUGUGCUCGCGCAUUAGAAGGAGGUGAAAGAUGCACCUGCAGGAGAAUACAUGCUUAAGAGAAGGCAGAAACAUGCCCGGAUCCACCAGAACUAGUGCUGGCAAGUCAACAGAGGCGAGUACUGAUAAUGUUCCAGAUUGUGGUAGGAUCACAUAAGCAAAAUU